GGAAGUCGGAGAGGAAACGAACGCAGGGAGUUCUCCGGCAGGCUGUCUUACACUUCCUCACGGAUGCAGGAGACCGGGUAAGCCCUUCCAGUCUCCCUCCGCAGGCGGGAGGCGACGCUAACUAAGCAGACAGCCAGAAGCGUAGAGGACUACCGUGAAGCGACUUGUAUUGAGAUCAUUACCUGCAUAUACAGCAAAAUCAAACCAGAUUCCAGCACCAUUGUGCCCAAUGGAUCUCUGGAGAAAACAGACUCCUUGACACGGAAAGUUUUGCAGGCGGUUUUAACUCCUUUCCUGGGACCACUUAGAAGCCUCCCAUUUCAAGUGAAUUGCAAUGCUUUGCCCUCUAAGUACAGAGAAAUUAGAAUCUUAGGAUGUAAUAUUUUUUAGUAAAAAAAAAAAAGUUGGCAAUUUUAAGGUCUUUUGCUACCAGCAACACAUUCAGUAGAAGACCCCUUACAAAGCAAAUUAUUUGAACUUCAAAAACCAUUAGUGUGCUUGACAAAUGUUCCCUCAAAGUUUCAAAACUACACUUCUUGUGUAAUUUUCAUAAAAACAUACACAGUAAUUAUGCCAGUUUCUCAUGUAUAUGUGCUGUAGGAGAAAUUUUUGUCCUUUGUAAUGUUUAGGGCUGUUCAGUCUAAAUGACUGAGCUGUCUGGCUUAAGGAGGCCUUCAGUGUAACUUUCCGUGAAUGACUGAUAAACACAAUAAAGACCUACUGCAAUGAAAACAUUCUCCAAUGCAGAGAACUGUGGCAGGAAAGAGUUAAGUUUCAUUCAUUCAAAAGUGCUCUUCCAGAAGUCUAAGAGGCUUUUACUAGAGGGAAUGGGAUCUUUAAGGUUUAGUUGGGAGGGGGUCUUACUUUUCAAGACAAUAAACUGUCAGGUUUUUCUGGGCCCUAUCCAAGUCAACUCACCAGUUAUUACUUAGAAAACGUUUUUCUUUUUUCCUGUAGUAGAGUUUCAGUAUUGUUUCCUCCAUAAUGAAGUGACUAGGAGUAGAUGCACCACAGGGUGGGAGGAGGCGGUGGAGAGAGAAUGGAGAGGAGCGUUCCUGGCUUCUGUUGCGGCGUCUUUUCUAUUUGACUUCAUGGUUGUAAGUAUUUCCAGAUGGUGAAUCAGACACCAGACGUAACAAUAUUUCCAUAUUUGGGUAUAGCAGUAGCCUGCGUUUUUAACAUUUUUCUGCCUCUGUUAUCCAACCACAAAGCAUUCUUGACAGCUUCAAAUGUUGUUAAAUAUAGACUUAACUUCUGUUCCCAGGGCAGGAAAUUCUUUGGAAUUCCUUGUUUUUCAUGCAAUCUGUCUAUCAUAAUUUAAAAAUGAAAUUAGGACAGAUGAUCCAACUGGCUCAUGUAUACACCUUGUUCCUUUAUGGAAGUUGUAUAGGGGGUGGGGGCAAGGGAGAGCUCAGAAAGAUGCAAUGUGCAGCACAGCAUUCCCAAACACACCAUUCCAGAGAUUCCAUUAAAAAUCAGAUUAAAGUUUUCUAACAAGAGUGUGUGGGUUUGUUUCUGGACUUCAUCUGGGGAAUCUUGGAGGAUGAGUUUGCCUCAGAGGAGAAGCUUACAGAACCUCACCGUCAGCUGCUCAUUUAAAGCAGGGGGUGUGUUGUGGGAGUGGGUGGGAAGCCGGAGCAAGCAGGGCCAGGACUGGGGAGCCGGAGAGACAGGAGUAACCUAUGUGCACAGCCUUUCCCUACACUAUGUCCUGGUGUGACUGCUAGUAAACGACAGCAUCAGACAAGAGGAAUAGCAGCUCCUCAAGUCCUGUUCCAGGAAGGUCCAGAAACCCCAAACGUCCGGUUGCCUUCUCGCCUCCUCUGCUGAGAGCUGCAGAGCAGCUCACGUUGACAGAUUGAAAGUUUCAGCUGUACAGAAAAGGAGCUCUGGCAACUUCUGCUGAGACUUUUCGGUAGGAAAAGCUUCCCAAAAAAAAGCGACAGCUAUUUUGAAGGCCAACUUGCUAAAAUUAUAUUCAGAUGGCGUUCUCCAUGCCAUGGGGAAGAUGGCUCCUAGCAACCUCGAUCUCCUCUCAUCUAAGCAGCUCUUCUAUCAGCAAAGAAAGUAGGCUUCUUCCUUUUUGGUUUCCAAUCUGAAAACAAUUUCAAGCAUGAUUUGCACGGGAUCAACUUAAGUCACAUACUCCUCCUCAAACCGUGACAACCAGGAAGAUGAGGUCCAUGAAUCAAGGCAAAUUGGAAGUGGUCAAACAGGAGAUGUCAAGAGUGAAUGUUGACAUUCUAGGAAUCAGCGAACUAAAAUGGACUGGAAUGGGUUAAUUUAACUCAGAUGACCAUUAUAUCUACUACUGUGGGCAGGAAUCCCUUAGAAGAAAUGGAGUAGCCAUCAUGGUCAACAAAAGAGUCUGAAAUGCAGUACUUGGAUGCAAUCUCAAAAACAACAGAAUGAUCUCUGUUCAUUCCAAGGCAAACCAUUCAAUAUCAUGGUAAUCUAAGCCUAUGCCCUGACCAGUAACGCUGAAGAAGCUGAAGUUGAACGGUUCUAUGAAGACCUACAAGACCUUUUAGAAUGAACACCCAAAAAAGACGUCCUUUUCAUUAUAGGGGACUGAAAUGCAAAAGUAGGAAGCCAAGAAACACCUGGAGUAACAGGCAAAUGUGGCCUUGGAGUACAGAAUGAAGCAGGGCAAAAGCUAAUAGAGUUUUGCCAAGAGAAUGCACUGGUCAUAGCAAAUACCCUCUUCCAACAACACAAGAGAAGACUCUACACAUGGACAUCACCAGAUAGUCAACACCGAAAUCAUAUUGAUUAUAUUCUUUGCAACCAAAGAUGGAGAAGCUCUAUACAGUCAGCAAAAACAAGACCAGGAGCUGACUGUGGCUCAGAUCAUGAACUCCUUAUUGCCAAAUUCAGACUUAAAUUGAAGAAAGGAGGGAAAAUCACUAGAUCAUUCAGGUAUGACCUAAAUCAAAUCCCUUAUGACUAUACAGUGGAAGUGAGAAAUAGAUUUAAGGGACUAGAUCUGACAGACAGAGUGCCUGAUGAACUAUGGAUGGAGGUUAAUGACAUUGUACAGGAGACAGGGAUCAAGACCAUCCCCAUAGAAAAGAAAUGCAAAAAGGCAAAAUGGUUGUCUGAGGAGGCCUUACAAAUAAGUCUGAAAAGAAGAGAAGUGAAAAGCAAAGGAGAAAAGGAAAGAUAUACCCAUUUGAAUGCAGAGUUCCAGAGAAUAGCAAGGAGAGAUAAGAAAGCCUUCCUCAGAGAUCAAUGCAAAGAAAUAGAGGAAAACAACAGAAUGGGAAAGACUAGAGAUCUCUUCAAGAAACUUAGAGAUACCAAGGGAACAUUUCAUGCAAAGAUGGGUUCGAUAAAGGACUGAAAUAGUAUGGACCUAACAAAAGCAGAAGAUAUUAAGAAGAGGUGGCAAGAAUACACAGAAGAACUGUACAAAAAAGAUCUUCAUGACCCAGAUAAUCACAAUGGUGUGAUCACUGGCCUAGAGCCAGACAUCCUGGAAUGUGAAGUCAGGUGGGCCUUAGGAAGCAUCACUAUGAACAAAGCUAGUGGAUGUGAUGGAAUUCCAGUUGAGCUAUUUCAAAUCCUGAAAGAUGAUGCUGUGAAACUGCUGUACUCAAUAUGCCAGCAAAUUUGGAAAACUUAGCAGUGACCACAGGACUGGAAAAGGUCCGUUUUCAUUCCAAUCCCUAAGAAAGGCAAUGCCAAAGAAUGCUCAAACUACCGCACAAUUGCACUCAUCUCACACGCUAGUAAAGUAAUGCUCAAAAUUCUGCAAGCCAGGCUUCAGCAAUACGUGAACCGUGAACUUCCACAUGUUCAAGCUGGUUUUAGAAAAGGCAGAGGAACCAGAGAUCAAAUUGCCAACAUCCUCUGGAUCAUCAAAAAAGCAAGAGAGUUCCAGAAAAACAUCUAUUUCUGCUUUAUUGUCUGUGUCAAAGCCUUCAACUGUGUGGAUCACAAUAAACUGUGGAAACUUCUGUAAAAGAUGGGAAUACCAGACCACCUGACCCACCUUUUGAGAAACCAAUAUGCCGGUCAGGAAGCAACAGUUAGAACUGGACAUGGAAAAACAGACUGGUUCCAAAUAGGGAAAGGAGUACGUCAAGGCUGUAUAUUGUCACCCUGCUUAUUUAACUUAUAUGCAGAGUACAUCAUGAGAAACACUGGGCUGGAGGAAGCACAAGCUGGAAUCAAGAUUGCCAGGAGAAAUAUCAAUAACCUCAGAUAUGCAGGUGACACCACCCUUAUGGCAGAAAGUGAAAAGGAACUAUAAAGCCUCUUGAUGAAAGUGAAAGAGGAGAGUGAAAAAGUUGGCUUAAAGCUCAACAUUCAGAAAACUAAGAUCAUGGCAUCUGGUCCCAUCACCUCAUGGGAAAUAGAUGGGGAGACAGUGGAAGCAGUGUCAAACUUUAUUUUUCUGGGCUCCAAAAUCAGUGCAGAUGGUGAUUGCAGCCAUGAAAUUAAAAGAUGCUUACUCCUUGGAAGGAAAGUUAUGACCAACCUUGAUAGCAUAUUAAAAAGCAGAGACAUUACUUUGCCAACAAAGGUCUGUCUAGUCAAGGCUAUGGUUUUUCCAGUGGUCAUGUAUGAAUGUGAGAGGUGGACUGUGAAGAAAGCUGAGCGCCGAAGAAUUAAUGCUUUUGAACUGUGGUGUUGGAGAAGACUCUUGAGAGUCCCUUGGACUGCAAGGAGAUCCAACCAGUCCAUCCUAAAGGAGAUCAGUCCUGGGUGUUCAUUGGAAGGACUGAUGCUGAGGCUGAAACUCCAGUACUUUGGCCACCUCAUGCGAAGAGUUGACUCAUUGGAAAAGACUCUGAUGCUGGGAGGGAUUGGGGGCAGGAGGAGAAGGGGACGACAGAGGAUGAGAUGGCUGGAUGGCAUCACUGACUCAAUGGACAUGAGUUUGAGUAAACUCCUGGAGUUGGUGAUGGACAAGGAGGCCUGGCGUGCUGUGAUUCAUGGGGUUACAAAGAGUCCGACACGCCUGAGUGACUGAACUGAACUGAACUGAACUGUUGUAGUUGUCAGUUUUAUUGGCACUAUGAAAUGUAGUUAAGCUUUUGAAGUUUUUUUUUUCAGUCACAUUUUUUAUUAUUGCUAUAAACAUAUGCCUCUAUGUUUAUCUUUUGCAGUUCUGUGGAGUUUUUCUUUCUUUUUUUUUCCUCCUUUCUCUUUUUUUAAUUUUAAGUUUUUAAACCUAUUAUAUUUUUAUUCCUUUGUUUGCCUUUCUACUGUUCUUUUCCCCUUGCAGUCAAUCUUUAAUGUAUAUAAAUCUUCUUCAUCUACCUCUAUUUAACUUUUCAUAUCUAUUCUUUCUUUUCUUUCUUUCCUUUCCUCUCAACAUAUUUGUUAGUUUUGUUUUCAUUGCUUUAUUUCCCACUUAGCACUCUGCUUUAGUUUUGUUUUCCAAUAUGUGCUUUAGUUAGUUUUGUUCUUAAUUGGUAAAUAUAAUUUUUUAUUUCCUUUGUUCAUCAGGUCAAUCUACUCUAUUUUUGUUGGACUGUUUUGACUUUGCUUAUAGGUGUCUAUGUAUAUGUGUAUGUUCCAUUAUUUUAAUUAUCAUUUGUCUGAUUUUGUAACUGCCAUUUGUCUGGGGUUCCUCUUUGGUUUCUCAUUUUGGGGUAUUUGUUUUAUUCUCACUUAAUACCAUAUGCCAUAUGCCAUACCAUAUGCCAUAACAAAUUACUUGUGGAAUCUUCAUUCCUGACCAGAGAUCAAGCCCUGAGUCUUCAGAGUGGGAGCACUGACUCCAAGACCCUAGACUACCAGAGAACUAACCCUAGGGAGUAUCAAAUAGUGGGAACUCACACAAAGGAAAUCACUUGACUACAAGAUCCAGCAUCACCCAAUCACCAGUAGCAUCCUGUGAAGGAUGCCUCAUCUGAGGAAAAACAAACAAACAAAACAACUCAGCGCAAAUCUCACCCUAUACUAAGCUUACACAAACCACUGGACCAAACUUAGGAGGUCAGAAACCAAAAGGAAGGAAGAAUUCAACCUUGAAGCCUAGGAAAAGGAGACUUCAAACACAAUAAGUUUAAAAAAAAUUAAUGAAAAGGCAGAGAAAUACUACACAAAUGAAAAACAAACUAGAAACACAGAAAUCCAAAUAAAUGAACAGGAAAUAGGCAAACUACCUGAAAAAGAAUUCAGACUAAUGAUAGUAAAAAUGAUAAAAAUCCUUGAAAACAAAAUGGAAAAAAAUGCAAGAACCAAUCAACAAAGACCUAGAAGAAUUAAAGAAUAAACAUGCAGAGGAAAACAACACAAUUACUGAAAUUAAAAAUACUCUAGAAGGAAUUAAUAGCAGAAUAUCUGAAGCAGAAGAACAGGUCAGUGAGCUGGAAGAUAAAUUGGUGGAAAUAACUUCUGAAGAGCAGAAUAAAGUAAAAAGAAUGAUAAUAACUGAGGAUGGUCUCAGAGACCUCUGGGACACUAUCACAUGCACCAACAUUCAAAUCAUAGGGGUCCCAGAAGAAGAAGAGAAGAAGAAAGGGUUUGAGAAAAUUUUUUGAAGAGAUUAUAGUUGGAAAUUUCCCCAAUAUGGAAAAGGAAAUAGUCAAUCAAGUCCAAGAGGCACAAAGAGUCCCAAACAGGACAAACCCAAGGAGAAACACGCCAAGACACAUACUAAUCAGACUAAUGAAGACUAACCACAAAGAAAUAAUAUUAAAAGCAUCAAGGGAAAAGCAACAAGUAACAUACAAGGGAAACCCCAUAUGGUUAACAGCUGAUCUUUCAACAGAAACUCUGCAGGCCAGAAGGGAAUGGCAGGAUAUAGUUAAAGUACUGAAAGGAAAAAAUCUACAGCCAAGAUUACUGUACCCAGCAAGGGUCUCCUUCAAAACUGAUGGAGAAACAAAAAGCUUUUCAGACAAGCAAAAGUUAAGAGAAUUCAGUACCACCAAACCAGCUUUACAACAAAUGUUAAAGAGUCUUAUAUAGACAAGAAAUACAAGAGAAGAAAAAGAUCUACAAAAUCAGCCCCAAACAAUUAAGAAAAUGGCAAGAGGAACAUAUAUAUCAAUAAUUACUUUAAAUGUAAACAGAUUAAAUGCUCCAACCAAAAGACACAGACUGGCUGCAUGGAUACAAAAAUAAGACCCAUAUAUAUGUCUACUAGAAACCCUCUUCAGACCUAAAGACACAUAUAGAUUGAAAGUGAGAAGAUGGAAAAAUACAUUCCAUGCAAAUAGGAAGCAAAAGAGAGCUGGAGUAGCAAUCCUCAUAUCAGACAAUAUAAACCUUAAAAUAAAGAAGAUUAUAAGAGAUAAGGAAGGACACUACAUAAUAAUCAAGGGAUCAAUCCAAGAAGAAGACAUAACAAUUGUAAAUAUCUAUGCAACCAAUGUAGGAGCACCUCAUACAUAAGACAAACACUAACAGACAUAAAAGGAGAAAUUGACAGUAACACAAUAAUAGUAGGAGAUUUUAACACCUCACUCAUACCAAUGGACAGAUGAUCAAAAUAGAAAAUUAAUAAGGAAACACAAGUCUAAAAUGACACAUUAGAUGAGAUGGAUCUCAUUGAUAUCUUCAGGACAUUUCAUCCAAAUCCAGAAGAAAACACCUUCUUCUCAAGUGCAUGUGGAACAUUCUCCAGGAUAGACCACAUCUUGGGUCACAAACCAAACCUCAGUAACUUUAAGAAAAUUGAAAUCAUAUCAAGCAUCUUCUCUAACCACAAUGCUGAGACUGGAUAUCAAUUACAAAAAAAAAAAAAAUUGUAAGAAACACAAACACAUGGAGAUUAAACAACACAUUUCUAAAUAAUCGACAGGUUACUGAAGAAAUCAAAAGGGAAAUAAAAAAAUUUUAGAAACAAAUGACAAUGAAAACAUGACAACUCAAAACCUAUGGGAUGCAGCAAAAGCAGUUCUAAGAGGGAAGUUUAUAGCGAUACAAUCCUACCUCAAGAAGCAAGAAAAACAUCAAGUAGACAACCUAACUUUACACCUAAAACAACUGGAAAAAGAAGAAGAAGAACAACAAAAAAAAACCCCAAAAUUAGUAGAAGGAAAGAAAUCAUAAAUAUCCAAGCAGAAAUAAAUGAAAAAGAAAUGAAAGAAACAAUAGUAAAGAUUAAUAAAACUAAAAGUUGGUUCUUUGAGAAGAUAAACAAAAUUGACAAACCUUUAGCCAGACUCAUCAAGAAAAAAAGAGAGAAGAAUCAAAUCAACAAAAUUAGAAAUGAAAAAGGAGAGGUUACAACAGACAGUGCAGAAAUACAAAGGAUUAUAAGAAACAAUUAUUAUAGACAGCUAUGUGGCAAGAACCUGGAAGAAAUGAACAGAUUCUUAGAAAAGUUCCAUCUUCUAAGACUGAGCCAAGAAGAAAUAGAAAUUAUGAACAACCCAAUUACAAGCACUGAAAUUGAAGCUGUGAUCAAAAAUCUCCCAUAAAACAAAAGCCCAGGACCAGAUGGCUUCACAGGAGAAUUCUGUCAGACAUUUAGAGAAGAGCUAAUGCCUAUCCUUCUAAAACUCUUUCAAAAAAUUGCAGAGGAAGAAACACUUCCAAAAUCAUUCGAUGAGGCCACCAUCACCCUGAUACCAAAGCCAGAAAAAGAAAACCCAAAAAAAGAAAAUCACAGGCCAGUAUCACUGAUGAACAUAGAUGCAAAAGUCCUCAACAAAAUUUGAGCAAAUAGAAUUCAGCAACACAUCAAAAAGCUCAUAUACCAUGAUCAAGUUGGGUUUAUUCCAGAGACGCAAGGAUUCUUCAAUAUAUGCACAUCAAUCAAUGUGAUACACCAUAUUAACAAAUUAAAAGAUAAAAACCAUAUGAUAAUCUCAAAAGAUGUAGAAAAAGCUUUUAACAAAGUUCAACACCCAUUUAUGAUUAAAACUCUUCAAAAAAUAGGCAUAGAAGGAAUCUACCUCAACAUGAAGUGAAAAGUGAAGUCUCUCAGUUGUGUCCAACUCUUUGUGACCCCCAGGGACUGUAACCUACCAGGCUCCUCUAUCCAUGAGAUUUUCCAGGCAAGAGUACUGGAGUGGGUUGCCAUUUCCUUCUCCAGGGGAUCUUUCUGACUGAGGGAUUAAACCCAGGUCUCCCACAUUGCAGGCAGAUGCUUUACCAUCUAAGCCACCAGGGAAACCUCAACAUAGUAAAGGCCAUAUAUUAUAAGCCUCUGGCAAACGUUAUUCUCAAUGGGGAAAGACUGAAAGCAUUCCCCUAAGAUCAGGAACAAGACAAGGGUGUCCACUUUCACCACUAUUAUUCAACAUAGUUCUGGAAGUUCUAGCUACAGCAAUCAGAAAAGAAAAAGAAGUAAAAGGAAUCCAGAUUGGAAAAGAAGACGUAAAGCUCUCACUGUUUGCAGAUGACAUGAUACUGUACAUGGAAAACCCUAAAGAUAGUAUCAGAAAAUUACUAGAGCUAAUCAAUUAAUUUAGCAAAGUUUCAGGAUACAAAAUCAAUACACAGAAAUCACUUGCAUUUCUAUAUAUUCACAAUGAAAAAUCAGAAAGAGAAAUUAAGGAAUCAAUCCCAUUCACCAUUGCAACAAAAAUAAUUAAAUAUCUAGGAAUAAACUUACCUAAAGAGACAAAAGAACUGUACACAGAAAAUUAUAAGACACAGAUGAAAGAAAUUAAAGACAACAUAAACAGAUGGAGAGAUAUUCCAUGUUCCUGGGUAGGAAGAAUCGAUAUUGUGAAAAUGACUAUAUUAUCAAAUGUGAUCUACAGAUUCAAUGCAAUCCCUAUCAAAUUACCAAUGGCAUUUUUCACAGAACUAGAACAAAAAAUUUCACAAUUCAUAUGGAAACACAAAGGGCCCUGAAUAGCCAAGUAAUCUUAAAAAUAAAAAAUGAAGCCAAGGAAUCAACCUUCCUGAAUUCACACUACAGUACAAACCUACAGUCAUCAAGAUAGUAUGGCACUGGCACAAAAACAGAAGUAUAGACUAAUGGGACAAGAUAGAAAGCCCCAAAAUAAAUCCAUGCACCAAUGGGUACCUUAUUUUUAACAAAGGAGGCAAGAAUAUACAAUGAGGCAAAGACAGCCUGUUCAAUAAAUGGUGCUGGGAAAACUGGACAGCUACAUGUAAAAGAAUGAAGUCAGAACACUUCCUAACAUCAUACACAAAGAUAAACACAAAAUGGAUUAAAGACCUAAAUGUUAAGACCAGAAACUAUAAAACUCUUAGAGGAAAACAGGCAGAACACUCGAUUACAUAAAUCAAAGCAAGAUCCUCUAUGACCCACCUCCUAGAGUAAUGGAAAUAAAAACAAAAGUAAACAAGUGGGACCUGAUUAAACUUAAAAGCUUUUGCACAGCAAAGGAAACUAUAAGCAAAGUGAAAAGACAACCCUCAGAAUGGGAGAAAAUAAUAGCAAAUGAAAAAACUAACAAAGGAUUAAUUUCCAAUAUAUAUAAGGAACUCAUACAACUCAAUGUCAGAAAAACAAACAACCCAAUCAAAAAGUGGGGGAAAGACCUAAAUAGACAUUCCUCCAAAGAAGACAUACAGAUGGCUAACAAACACAUGAAAAGAUGCUCAACAUUGCUCAUUAUUAGAGACAUGCAAAUCAAAACCACAAUGAGAUAUCCCCUCACACCGGUUAGAAUGGCCAUCAUCAAAAAGUCUACAAACAAUAAAUGCUGGAGAGGGUGUGGAAAAAAGGGAACCCUCUUGCACUGUUGCUGGGAAUGUGAAUUGAUACAGCCACUGUGGAAGAUGGUAUGGAUAUUCCUUUAAAAACUAGGAAUAAAACCACCAUAUGACCCAGAGAUCCCAGUCCUAGGCAUAUACCCUGAGGAAACCAAAAUUGAAAAAGACACAUGUAUCUCAUUGUUCAUUGCAGCACUAUUUACAAUAGCUAGAACAUGGAAGCAACCUAGAUGUCCAUUGGCAGAUGAAUGGAUAAAGAGGUUGUGGUACAUAUACAGAAUGGAAUAUUACUCAGUCAUAAAAAGGAACACAUUUGAGUCAGUCCUAAUGAGGUGCAUGAACUUAGAACCUAUUAUACAGAGUGAAAUAAGUCAGAAAGAGAAAGAUAAAUAUCAUAUUCUAGUGCAUAUAUAUGGAAUCUAGAAAAAUGGUACUGAAGAAUUUACUUACAGGGCAACAAUGGAGAAACAGACAUAGAGAAUAGACUUAUGCACAUGGGGAGAGGGGAGGAGAGGGUGAGAUGUAUGGAAAGAGUAACAUGGAAACUUGCAUCACCAUAUGUAAAAUAGAUAGCCAAGGGGAAUUAGCUGUGUGGCUCAGAGCUCAGGGGCUCUGCAUCAACCUAGAGGGGCGGGGUGGGGAGGGAGACGGGAGGGAGGUCCAAAAGGGAGGGGAUAUAUGCAUACCUAUGGCUGAUUCAUGUUGAGGCUUGACAGAAAACAACAAAAUUCUGUAAAGCAAUUAUCCUUCAAUAAAAAAAUAAAAAAUAUAAUUUGCAUCUUCAAAUAAGUAUCUUAUUAGAACAACAUUUGUAACAUAUUUGAUUUAGAAAGCUGAGAUUUUGAGGAUCCAAUGAUGGACUAAUGAAUGUGUAUUAAACCUAUUGCUUGUGUUUUGAUACCUUUCCAGCAAUCAUCAGUAUAUAAUUAUUCCAGCCUAUGUGGACCCUCAUCAGAAACAUCACCUAUCAAUCUCUAACUUUAUUUCUGCCAUUCCUGUUAGCUAAGAAUGAUUAAAGACAGCUUCACUUUUCCUAGUUCCAGCCUUAAAGAUGUAUGAUGUACUAACAGCGUACUGUGGAGCUGUAAAAAAGAAUAGGAAAGCUCCUUAUGUCUUGUAUGGAAAGGUCUUUGUGUGUACUGAAUUAUUUGUGUCUCCCCAAAGUUCAUGUUGACCACCUAGUGUGAUGGUAUUUGGGUAUAGGGCCUUUUGGGGGUAAUUAGGUUUAGAUGAGGCUGUGCAGGUGGUGCCCUCAUGGUGGGAUUGCUCCCCUUAUGCUCCUAAAGUAAGAGACACCAGAGAGCUUGCUGCCUUUCUUUGCCAUGUGAGGACACAAUGAGAAGACGGCUAUCUGCAAACAGGAAAAGAGUUAUCCACAGAACCUGACCAUACAGGCAUCCUGAUCUAUUAUUUGCAGCCUCAGAACUGUGAGAAAAUAUAUAUCUGCUAUUUAAGCCAUCCAGUGUAUGGGAUUUUGUUAUGAGAGCCUGAACUGACUAAUUAGUUGCCAAGAUUUAUUUUUAAGUGGGGAGAAAGAGGUGCCAAAAUAGUGUACUCUUGAGGUAAAAAAAAAGAAGGGAAAAUAAUCUAUGCUUGUGUUGGCUUGUAUAUACAUUUGAAAAAUCCUGGGAAGUAAAUGAGAAACUAAUAAUGUUGGUUAGUUAUUUUAGGGAGAUAGGAAUUUGGCAGAUAGAAGACAGGGCCGGAAAAGAGACAUGGGUGUACAUCAUUUUAUAUUUUUGAUGUUCAAAGUAUGUGACUGUGUUACCACUUCAAGACAUUAAAUAAAUGCAACUUAUUAAAAAUAAUAACAAAACAUUUUAUUUGGGAAAACAAGAUUAUAUUGAAAUAAGGAAAAUAACUGUUCAUAUUGAAAGAAGAUUUUUGAUUAGCAGAAUAAUUAUAGCAGAAGUUGACAUUUGAUGCAGGCACAAUUUGAAGAACAUGAAGGAAUAUGAACUAUUAACUGUAUUAAAUCGCUUUCUCAGUCAGUUCUUUAGUAAUCCUCAUGAUGAUAUAGAUAGCUCUUAUCAUCUACUGCCCCUUUCUUGGAUCUGCAUUGGUUACUGCCAGUAGAGCUUGAAGUACACCACGUGCAUCCAUUUGGUUGAAAGAUGAUGGCAACAGGUUCUCAAGUGUUCUCUCAGUAAUGCCCAGAAUGUCUCUGAGAGUAAUACCUCCUCCUUCAACUUCCCUCAGUGGGUGAUCCAUAUUCACGCAUACAACCACUGAGAAGAGGACCCAGUCUCUUCCAUGGACAAAGAUGUAAAUUUUCCCACAACUUACUUUGGCCAGUUAUUGUCCUAGAGACAUUAUAGCAUACCACCCCAAAGAGGGGCUUCCCUGGUGGCUCAGUGGUAAAGAAUCUGCUUGCAAUGCAGGAGUUGCAGGAGACCCAGUUUCAAUCCCUGGGAUGGGAAGAUCCCCUGGAAGAGGACAUGGCAACCCACUACAGUAUUCUUGCCUGGAGAAUCCGAUGGACAGAGGAGCCUGGUGGGCUACAGCCCAUAGGGUUGCACAUGACUGAAGCGACUUAGCACGCACACACCCCAAAGAGGUCUUUUAUUUCUGUUUAAUGUCUAAUCAUAGAUUUCUUCUUCGUUGGUCAUCUAGCCUUCGCCUGACUCUCUACACCCAUAGACUCAUUUUGAGUUGUGUGCCAUGACCCGAAAGUGCUUUUUCUCUGUCUCCAUGCCUUUGUAAAUACCAUUUCCAUUGCUUGGACCACCUUCUAUUUGUUACUUAUGAUGAAGCUCCCCCAAAUAGAGAUAGCGUUUUUCCUGAUAUCAUCCUAUAUUUAUUGAACCCCAUUGAGAUGUUCUACAUGAUUAUUCCUUCCUAUUAGAUUCAAGACAUUCAGCAGGAGCCAUAGCAUAUUCAUUUUGUAUCCUCAAUGCGAUAUCCAUUAGGCACUUGAUGGUUGAAUGAAUGAGCCUGGCUGAAAUGUUAAAGACAAAAAAAUCACAGUACUCUCUAAUAAAAUCCCUUUCAAUGCUUAGGGGAAGUGCUUCGCAAGAAGUUUCUAACUCUGCACCGUAAGUGUGUUAUUGAGCCCCUGAUUGAUUCGUAAGAGCUGAAUUCUGUCAGGACCAUGCUCCAUGAAUCUUUUGAUAUUUUGGAGUGUGUUCAAUUUUGUAGAUUUUUUUGGUGUGUGGUUUGAAAACUGCAUCUCCAAACUAAGGCAUUUCUAUGAGGAUCCCCUCUGUUUAAGUGCCUUUUAUUUCUCACAUUUUAAAGCAAGAUGACAGCUCUCAAUCCAGUGGAUUUUCAUCCUUAUCUCCAGAAAACCACAUUUGUUAUGCUUUGUGGUGAUGUAAGUUACAUAUCUACAGACAUCGCUUUGUGGAAGUGAGACUUCAGCUAGAACCUGCAUCCACAUUUGCUGGCCAGAGAGCCAGAGUGGCACCGGGGUAAUUGCCACUGCUUUGUAGUUAGAUAUCUUUCUCAAAGAUACCCUUUUAAAAUGUGAAAUUUGCAGAAAACAAAUCAUUAAUAUUUUUUCUAGCUGAAAGAAUUCACUUCCAAACUAAAGAGGCUGAUUUUGGAGAGUCUCAGCUGUGUCAAUAAUCUACCAGAGACACAUUUUACAAUUAGGCUCAUUAUCUUUUCUUAAUUCAGUUUACCCUAAACAGAGUAGAUAAAGAUAAAUGCUUAAACUUUUCCAUAUUAAGACAUGCUUGUAUAAAUAUGGCCUCAUAAGAAUUUGUUCUCAGAGUUCAUUGACUUUAAUUGUCCUACUGAUGCUUUGUCCAUUGACAUAUCUAAUAGGUAGUAUUCAUUUUCUAUAGUAUCUUGAGAUUCUAAUACAUAGCAUGAUGACUUUAGUUAGUAACACUAUAUUGUAUACUGGAAAUUUGCUAAGAGAGUCAACUUUAGGUGCCUUCACCAAACACACAAAAAGUGCUAAAUGUGUUAGGAGAUGGAUACAUUAAUUAGCUUUAUUGUAGUAAUCAUUUCACUGUGUAUAUGUAUUAUCAAAAUAUGAUAUUGUGCUCCUUUAAUAUAUACAAUUGUUAUUUUAAGAAACUAGAUUUGCAUUAGAUUGCAUGCAGAAGGAGAUAGGAGAAUUCAACUAUCCUCUAUUUAGCAAAAAUGUAAUAUAAUGUCACUAUAAUACAUGUAAUAAUGGAUACAUUCUUUGGAGGUUGGUUUUUCUUUUCCCACUAAAAAGCAUUACUUGUAUUCCCCUAAAAAAUAUCAAAACAAAACAUUUUCUAUAGUAAGGGACAGUGUCAUAAGCCUGAGUUCAAUAUACUAUUGAGCAUAAUCCUGACACUUUUCUCAGUAUCAAUAGUCUGCUGACUCUUGGUGACAUGUGGUUGAAGGCAAAACUUCAACAAUAUUUACUGGAUCUUAGUUCUAAUGCCAUUUAUUAUAAGCUUUGGAGAUAAAAAGAAAAGUUCUGAAAUACUUCUCCCUUCCCAGAACUUUAGUUAUUUUGCAGUUACCAAGUCUGAAAAAUCUCUGGAUUUGCCCCCCUUCAGGAAAGUGUGUCUUAAUUAAAUAAUUAGGCCCUUUUAAGGAUCAGUUCCCUGUGGGUUGCUUCUAUAAUUGCCUCUUCACUCAUCAGCUAAAAACCUCCCUAGGCUGUUUCUUGUUCGUUCUCAAUAUAAUGUUUUACCUAUUUAGUUCAUGCCGUUGUGUUUGUAUAGCUUAUAUGUUUUUCUUUGGCAUCAUCAUCUGUCCAAAAUUGUAAGGUCCUAGAAAAUAAGACCCAAGUGUCCUUAAUUUAUUUUUAUGGUGCUUACAUUAGCAUUAUAUGAUAUUAAACAUUUAAUAAUUUUUCAGUGUGAUGAUUAUGAAGAUGGGAAUCUAUAGUAGGCUGAUAAAUGUGAAUUUAAUAUAAAAAAAAAAGCUCACUGAAACUCUGGUGUGCUAUUCAUAGCACACAGCAGACUAUAUCAGUUGCUGAGAAGAGUUUAGUAUUAUGUGAAAGCGGUGAUGAAAAUGUUCAAAAUUGCCAACUUCCAAUGACUCAUAAAGUACAUAUGUCUCUUAAGUUGCUUACCUGCUUUUGCCCUUGGGCCAUGUUUCUGCUCUUAUGUAUCCAGCCAGAGUCUGAAAAGGCAUCUAGCUCAAAUCAAUCAAUUUUAUACAUACUGAUAGUUCCAGUAGUAAGGGUAGUCAAAGAGAAAGUAGUAAUGAUGUAAAUCAUAAUUUUGAGGGAUUAUUGUGGAAUUUAGUGCUUGAUGGUCAACUUGCAUUAGUAAAUCAGCAUUCAUUUGACUGCAUGGUUUGUAGAACUAAGGAAAAAUUCCUCUUCCUGUCAAAAGUUCUGUAUGGUUAGUCUGACUGUGGAAGAUUUUGUAUCCACAGGAGAGAAUUAAAUGGUUUGUCUUGCUGGACUAGCAGAGCUUGGGGGAGCAAGCCCUAAAGACAGAGCAGUUUCCUAGAACUGAAGGAUUUAACCUUGGUUCUAGCCCUCCCUUCUGUCAGCCUUGUCAGCGGGAAAACCGUCAAGGUUGAUUUCAAAGGAAUCAUCCUUGGCACUUUUCCCCCCUAAAACCGCUUAUCUGUCACUUCAUGGAAAUUGCCACUUGUCCUUAGUUGCAUGCAAUAUUAGCUCAGACAUCGCACACGUUAUUACCACAGAGAUUGAAUACACUCCCCCAUUAUGCCUAUCUAUAUAUUAAAUAUGUGUCUUAUAUAUGUCUUAUGUAUGUCUAUAUAAUAAAGAAGUUUCUUUGAAACUGUCUAGUAACUCAGCAGUUUCAGACUUAAGGGCUGAAACCAUAGCCUUUCAGUCAUUUAGCUGCCUUUCCCAACAGUGAUUGGGAAAUGUUAGGCUUGGAGACAACCUUCAGAAAUGCAUUUUUGCUAGCUCUACUAGUAUUACUUCUACUUAGAAGACCUACAUAUUUCUUAAUGCUUUUAAAUGUUUAUAAGGUGUGUUUAUGAUAACAUUUUUUUUUCUCCUUUAAAACAACUGAGGCCCUUUAAGCACAUGUGUCUUCCAGGCACAGAAUUAGAAUAUUUUCACUCCUGGGGUUUAUGUCUAUGAUAAAAUACUAUCACAUACUCUAACGUGAGCAGAAAUCAGGUUUAUAUCUCCUAUGAUCAGAAUACGUGUUAGACUUGAUGAGUUUAGGAGCUGAGAAAGAGAUAAUGAUGACACCUUGCACAGGCUGUGGUCCUGAAUCCCCACCUUUCUCAUCCAGGUCCACAAUCCUUUAUCUGCGAUUCAUUUUCAGUAACAAAUUUGGUGACCUAAACUGAUGAGAAACAAUGUAGUCCUUAUUCUAGUGGUCCCCUCUAAGUAAAUGGAAAUAUUAAUAUGUUGGAUCAUAAGGUGCUGCCCCAGGCCCAUUAGAGGUUCUUUGCAAAAACAUAUACUUACCACAUGAUUUCUACAGUUCAGAAAGGUCUAAGUUCUGAAAUAUAUCUGGCACCAAAGAUUUCUGAUAAGGCAUUGUGAACUACACAUUUCCUUACUAGUAAAUACAUUUAUAAAAUCAGUGGGGGCAGUUUCAUAUUAAAUAUUCUGUCACAUAUAUGGGUGGUUAGAUGUUUUCAUAACACCUUGUACAAAAUUAUAACACCAUAACAUAUAUGAAAGUGAAAGUGAAAGUCACUCAGUCGUGUCUGACUCUUUGAGACCCCAUGGACUAUACAGUCCAUGGAGUUCUCCAGGCAAGAAUGCUGGAGUGUGUAGCCGUUCCCUUCUCCAGGCAAUCUUCCCAACCCAGGGAUCGAACCCAGGUCUCCUGCAUUGCAGGCAGAUUCUUUAUCAGCUGAGCCACCAGGGAAGCCCAUAACAUAUAUAAUAGUUUUUGAUCUAGUAUCAUCUGGACCAAACUGACAACUCUUGCAGAGAGUAAUUUAUUGUCUGGUUAAACUGUUUAUUGUUUAUUUUCUGAUUAUAACAUGAUAUAUGCUUCUUGAAGAAAAUUGGAAAGUAUGUAGAAGUUUGAAGAAAAUAAAAAUCAUAUAUAGUUCCUCUUCUUAAAGAUAGACAAAGUUACUAUUAUAUUUUAUUGUCUUUCCUACGUACAUUUUAAAAAACAAGUAUUAAUUUUUGGCUGGAUUGGGUCUUAGUUGCGUCAUAUAGGAUCUUCCUUGUGGCAUAUGGGCUUCUCUCUAGUUGAGGUGCACAGGUUUUGUUGCCCUGUGGCAUGUGGGAUCUUAGUUCCCUGACCAGGGACCGAACCCACGUCCCUAGUCCAGGAAGUCCUGGACCAGUUGGGAGUCCACCAGGGAAGUCCCUUCUACGCAAAUUUAAAAACUAAAACUGAGGUCAUACCAAAGCAUUGUUUUCUUUUUUUAAAUUUUAUUGAUAUAAUUGACAUACUACAGUGUAUAGGUUUAAAAUGUACAUAUUGUCAAAUGAUUACCACAGUAAGUUUGGUUGACACCCAUCGAAAGCAUUCUUUUGAGUGGCUACAGAGUACCCCACAGGUAUGAAUGUAACAUGAUUUAUUUAACUGCUCCCUUAUUGCAGGGCUUCCCAAUUUUUCCCAAUUUUUUAAAUGAAUAGAGACACUAUUUCUAAAGCAUAUUGUUAACCACAGUGCUUAGCACACAGUCACUCAGUGAAAGGUACUGAAUUGAUUAAAGUUAUUUUCAUCUACUAAAAUUGUACCACAAAUAGGUUUAUUAGGUUUAAUUAUAUGCUUAGGGAGAAUCUGGAAGAAUGAGCUCACAUCUGGGUUGUAGAGGGAGCAGUUUAAACCUAGCCUGGGAGAUGCUGCAUAGGAAGAGGGGCGGCCGACUGUGUGAGCGGCAGAGAGGGGGAGCGUUGAGGAACUUCUGUGUUGAUUAGAGAUUUUGAAGUUUGUUAUGUAGUCUGUUUUCUCUGUUAAUUGCUCAUAGUUGUCCCUGUGAGAGCUGACAUGUGCUCUUUGAAUGUAAUUGAACAUCUGCUUUAGAACAAUGUGACAAGUACAUGUUAUCUUCUUAGAUGCCAGUAUGUGUUAAGAUGGACAUAGUCAUUUCUGGAAAUUUCCAAAUCGGAUCUUUGUGAACUCUUCCAGGAAAUGUGGUUAGGGCAGCCCACAGGACUCUCUCCCAAGCAGGGCCAAGCAGAUGGGAGCUGGAAGCACCAUUUUCACCCCAAAGGGAUGAAAACAAAGCCUAGCAAACUGAACUAGCAAUAUUUAACACUCUGCUGUUUUGAUGAUACCCACGUGGGCUCCACCUCCAGAAUGCCUAUUCCCAUACCAUGUACAACUAAAACUGCAUAUUUUGGUUCAUGGCUGGACCUAUUCCAUGUUCAGACUGUUAGAACACUGUUGUAAUAUUCAAUAAGCAAUUAGUGGUGCAAACACUGGUCAGUGUUCAGUUAAUUCAUUUGAUUUAAUUAAGCAUUUAAUUUUCUUCUUUUUUU